rnacentral:rRNA from 1 species
AUGCUAUGCGGAGGUCCCCCAUCCUUGCAACUCCCUUCAUGCCCAUAUAUAGGUUCUACCAAGGCUGCGCAGCAUCGGCGGCGGCUCAUACUGUUUUGCAUGGUUGGAACUUUGAUCUUCUUCAUGUGCUCUCUAACUGGAUGCUACUUAAUGAAGACAAGAAUGAAACCGAACAAUGGUCUUGAUCAAGGAGUCGGAUUUCACCAAGAGAUGCAUGAGAGGAUAUCGUAUGCUGAGAUAGAUGCAGCAACAGAGUCAUUCUCACCGACAAGUUUGAUUGGUUCUGGAAGUUUCGGCAAUGUGUACAUUGGAACUCUAAAUCUUGAUGAGAGUUUAUGUACUGUAGCAAUCAAGGUUUUCAAUCUUGGCAAACGAGGAGCUAAUAGAAGCUUCUUGAGAGAGUGUGAGGCCCUAAGGAAGAUUCGACACCGGAAGCUUGUCAAAGUGAUCACUAUGUGUAGCAGUUUGGACCGUAAUGGUGAUGAGUUCAAGGCACUUAUCUUAGAGUUUAUCUGCAACGGAAAUUUAGAUGAAUGGCUGCAUCCAAACUCCAUGACUAACAGCCGGAACUUUAGAAGGCUAAGUUUGAUGGAAAGGCUAUGCAUUGCUCUUGAUGUUGCAGAGGCAUUAGAAUAUCUUCACCAUCAAAUUGAGCCAUCCAUAGUUCAUUGUGAUAUCAAACCAUGCAACAUCCUUCUAGAUGAUGACUUUGUUGCACACGUCACCGACUUUGGUCUAGCAAAGAUAAUGCAUACCGAUGAAUGCAUGCACAGUGGUGGUGGAACUGAAAGCAGCUCACUUGUAAUUAAAGGCACAAUUGGAUACGUCGCACCAGAAUCCAAGCCCUCCAUGGAUGGUCACGUAUAUAGCUAUGGGGUGUUGCUAUUGGAAAUAUUUACUGGAAGGAGACGUACUGACAAUUUCAUGGAUGGUGUGACAAGCCUGGUCGAAUAUGUCAGGAUCGCCUAUCCUGAUAAGCUGCUGAAACAUUGGAUGCUAGUGCAACCUACAGCGGAGACACACGGCAUAUCAUCGAUAUACUCUUAUAUCCUAUGUUUAAGCUUGGCUUAG